UACGUAGGAUGCAAGCGUUGUCCGGAUUUACUGGGCGUAAAGCGCGCGCAGGCGGCACUCUAAGUACGCUGUGAAAUAUCCCGGCUCAACCGGGAGGGUGCAGUGUAGACUAGGGAGCUAGAGGUCGGUAGAGGGGGGUGGAAUUGCUGGUGUAGCGGUGAAAUGCGUAGAGAUCAGCAGGAACACCCGUGGCGAAGGCGGCAUCCUGGACCGGUAUUGACGCUGAGGCGCGAAAGCUAGGGGAGCAAACGGG
rnacentral:rRNA from 1 species